rnacentral:rRNA from 1 species
CACGCUGUAAACGAUGAGCACUAGGUGUCGGGGUCGCAAGAUCUCGGUGCCGGAGUUAACGCAUUAAGUGCUCCGCCUGGGGAGUACGCACGCAAGUGUGAAACUCAAAGGAAUUGACGG